CCGACCCCUCUCUCGCCACGACCUGACUCCGUCAUCCUCCACUAGGCACCAUGGACUCCGUGCGCAUUGGGCCCUACAGAUAGAUAUUCCGCCCCGACAACUUUGUCUUCGGCCAGUCCGGCGCCGGCAACAAGUGGGCCAAGGGCCACUACACCGAGAUGAGCUCCAUCCUCGACGUCGUCCGCAAUGAGGCCGAGAACUGCGACUGCCUCCAAGGCUUCCAGGUGUGCCACUCCAUCGGCGGGGUACCGGUUCGGGCAUGGGCACGCAGCUGAUUUCCAGGAUCAGGGAGGAGUACCCGGACCGGAUGAUGCUCACCUUCUCCGUGUUCCCAUCUCGCAAGGUCUCUGACAUAGUGGUCGAGCCCUACAAUGCCACCCUCUCGGUUCACCAGCUGGUUGAGAACUUUGAUGAGUGCAUGGUGCUGGACAACGAGGCGCUCUACGGCAUCUGCUUCCACACCCUCAAGCUGACCACACCUAGCUAUAAGGAGAUCUGUGACAUCAAGUUAUAUUACCUACCUGUACUUUUUUUGACUGAAUACCUGUACUUUUGUUACUAAUGUGAAUGGUAAAUGAUCAUUAUGCUGGCAACACGAUGAAUUA